GAAAUGCGAUAAGUAAUGUGAAUUGCAGAAUUCAGUGAAUCAUCGAAUCUUUGAACGCACCUUGCACCCUUUGGUAUUCCGAAGGGUACACCCGUUUGAGUGUCAUUGUAAUCUCACUUCAACAACUUUUGUUGAAUGUGGACUUGGAUGUUGUCGUGUUCAACGACUCAUCUUAAAUGCCUGAGUGUACCCUGCUUUGCAGCGUAUCAGUGUGAUAAACAUCUUCACUGUUAAGUCUUUUUAGACACGCUUGUGUUGUGGGCUCUAUGCUUCAAACCGUCUUUGGACAAUUUCUGACAAUUUGACCUCAAAUCGGGUGGGACUACCCGCUGAACUUAA
rnacentral:misc_RNA from 1 species